rnacentral:misc_RNA from 1 species
UCCGAGUUGACCCCGGCAGUCUCCCAUGAGUCCCCGGCAUAACCCGCUGGCAACAUGGAACGAGGGUUGCGCUCGUUGCGGGACUUAACCCAACAUCUCACGACACGAGCUGACGACAGCCAUGCAGCACCUGUGUGAUGGUUCUCUUUCGAGCACUCCCAAAUCUCUUCAGGAUUCCAUCCAUGUCAAGGGUAGGUAAGGUUUUUCGCGUUGCAUCGAAUUAAUCCACAUCAUCCACCGCUUGUGCGGGUCCCCGUCAAUUCCUUUAUGUUUUAGUCUUGCGACCGUACUCCACAGGCGGGAUACUUAACGCGUUAGCUUCGCUACUGAAGGGGUCGAUACCUCCAACACCUAGUGAGCAUCGUUUAGGGCGUGGACUAC